rnacentral:lncRNA from 1 species
AAAGAAACAACUUCUUAAUGGCUUCGACAAGCUACAUAACAAUGCCAUAGAAGAAUCAUUAUAUCCAGAAUGAAAGCCAAAAUCAAAUAUUAAGAAGUCAAGCUUUUACAUGUACAAGUUAUGAGAAAAUAACAAAUGCAGUAGAAAUCCACACUGAAGACAAAUACGGCCAACAAAAAAAAAAUGACGAACUAAUCUACUUACUAGUAUCCAUCCCUAAGCCCACCAAAUUUCUCUUGUCCAGCAGUGUCCCAGCAGUAGAAUCGGAUUUUUCCACAGUUGGUGAAGAAAUCCAAUGGAUGAACUUCAACACCAAUGGUUGCUGUAAAGUAAAACAAAAAGAAACCAAUUCAGGGAUACAACCAAAAAACAAGAUCACGAUAUAUACACAUCAAGUAAAAUUAUCAGAUUAAACUGGAAUCAAGAAGUGAAUUCUUACGCUCAUAUUUCUUCUCAAAUUCUCCAGUAAGAUGCCUUUUCACAAAGGUAGUUUUCCCUGCAUACAAUAAACAAACCAUCCAACACAUCAGUGCAAAUCAUACUGAAACCCCCAAAAAGAUAAUACCUCAAAUGAGAAACGAUACCAAAUCCCUAGGCAAAACAUGAAAAAAUAAAAGGAAAGCCAGGAACGUAAGGCAAAGAUCAAAAAGCCAAACGCAGAAUACACAAAUUUUUCGCGUCCCAGAGGCCAACUUAUAUGAAAAUCUGAAACAAAGACCAAUUAAGCAAAAACCCACAAAACAUACCUGUACCACCAUCGCCAACGAUAACAAGCUUGAAACUUGGAUAAUCAACAGUCGGCUGAUUGGGUAAAGCCUAUAUGACAAAAAAGAAAGAAAGAACACAAAUCAUUAUUACCAGCAGUAAAAUAAAGAUCAGAAGCCCUAAAUCCAAUUCAAACAAUAUCUCAUACAUAGAUCGACGAAAUAUAAAGACUGCAAUACAGAUCCAACAAAAAGAACGACGAAACGAAGAGAGACCGCAAAUGAAGAUUAUAAACCUCACCAUUUUUAUAUUUUCUGCAGAGCUCUGUUUUUGAAACGUAGAUUUGAAUGUUUUUAUGCGUACGCGAGACAGGUCUUAGAACCUUUGAGAGGGGGUUUAUAAAGAGGAGGUUUAAGCAGACCCUAAUUUCAUUUCAAUUUCGAUCUCCUGCGUUAUGGAGCAUGGAAUUGGGGGAUCUCGGAGAUUGCUGAUUGGAGAUUGAUGGAAGUUAGUGGUGGGGAUUUGGUCUGUAUCUUGCGUUGUGUUGUAGCGGAUUUAAAUUUCAAUGUAUUUCAAACUUCUCAGGUGGCUUAGAGCUGACGCGAGUCUUUCGACCGUCAGAUUAAAGUUAGUCAAAGUGAAUCGCUUGAUGAUGCAACGUGUCAGAUUUGAGUUUCGGUUCUUAAUGUUUUGGAUUUGUUGAAUGGGGUGAGGCUUUUGUAGGCCCAUUUGAAGGGUUAAGUAGGUUAGGGUUCUCCUUAAUGGACCCAAGCUUUUCAUGACAAUCUCUUUCUCACCAAAAUGACCUUUUGUUAAGGCUCCAUUUGUCUGCGCAAGAUAAAUGUUUUCAUUUUUGUCAUUUGGUUAUAUAUGGAAAUUAUUUUACACAUUUGGAGUCUUUUGGAAAAUGUCACUUUAUAACUAUUUAAAAUCUUAUAUUUAAAUUUCUAUAGUUUCAAAUUAUAUUAAAAUAGUGCAAAAUUAAGAAAUAAAUAAAUAAACUAUUUUAAAAUUUUUUGGUGACAUAUUAAUGAUUGGUGCCGGUUACAAGAAUUGGUAUUAACUAAAAGUAUCGAAAAUGAUUGCUAAUAGUAAAUAUACUAAUAGAAUAAUAUAAGUUUAUGUUGCUUUUGUUAUAAGCUUGUAUAAUAUUUUAUAAAAGCAGCUCUUUUUUCAAAUAGAAAGUUAUUCGCUUGGAGGUUGCUUAAGAAAAGUUAGCUAAAUUUACUUUAUUUAAUUAAGAAAAUAUUUUCCGUUAAUAUUUUUUCUUAAAUGUAUUAAACACCAGAAAAAGAAAAGUGAAAAUUAUUUUUUGCAUAUGUUCUUUAAAAAAAUCAAUCUUAGUUCAUUUUGAAUUUUUAUACUAAUUAUAAGGGAUUCGUUUAAUUUCUUUUUUCUGUUUAUUAUCCAUUUCUUUCUAAGACUAAAAACAAUAAUAAUUAUAUCUGAUGAGUUAUUUGAUGAUUAAAAAAGUAAAAAACAUACAUAUAAAUUUAGUGUGGUGUCAGAUAUAAACUUUAAUAUAAGCUAAGUUUUAAAUUUGAAUUUCUUUUUUUAUUUACAAUAAAAAUUAAUAAAAUUGAAAGAUUCUGUAAUUAGAUAGUGUGAUGUUUUAGGCAAAGACCUUAAUUAUUUGUGUUUAUUGAUCAAGUCCCCAUUAUGUAUUAUCACUCUCCUAAACUUCUAUUUUUUAUUUGGUUGAAGAUUUUUCUUUUUGACAAUAAUGCCAACCUUUAGUGUGUUUGGACUUUAUAAUACACAAAUUCCUCUCCAAAUUACCUAGUUCUCAAACAAUGUGAAACCCUAAGUCACCAUCUAAGAAUUUUCCCACUUAUUUCUUAACUUGUCUACAAUCAUUGUCGUCACUCCUUAAUCAUUAAAAUGGUAGUUAUGCUUGAUCGAUAUUAUAUUUUAUUACCCUGGUGUUAAUAAGUCUUUUACAGGUGUAGUUGGUGAGGUUAGCUUCUGCAUUUGAGAAUGUUUGAAGAUGAAUCAAUUAUUUAGUUAUUUUGAUAGAAUUUUUUUUUUUUUUUUUUUGCUAAAUAAUAUAAAUGAAUAAAGAAUAGAACUCAAAAAUAGCUCACUCGCUUCAUUGAAACCAUAUAACUAAAACUUCUUCCAGCAUUCUCAAAGCUUCCAUCUACUUUUUACUCAAAUGUGCCAGCAUCAUCAUCCGGAAGAGGUUGACUUGUAGCUUGAGCA